rnacentral:lncRNA from 1 species
GUUCAUCCGUAGGUGAGGACUAUUACUUGAAUACUUGCCCCCUCCUUUUGCUCGCCUUUCUGCGACUGAGGCUAAGUGUAAUUCCUCGUCUACCUACGUUCAUCCGUAGGUGAGGACUAUUACUUGAAUACUUGCCCCCUCCUUUUGCUCGCCUUUCUGCGACUGAGGCUAAGUGUAAUUCCUCGUCUACCUACGUUCAUCCGUAGGUGAGGACUAUUACUUGAAUACUUGCCCCCUCCUUUUGCUCGCCUUUCUGCGACAGGGGCUGAUUGUGUUUCCUCGUCUACCCGCGUUCAUCCGUGGGUGAGGAAUGUUCUUGAGCACGUCCCUCGUCUAAUCCUACGUUCUUCCGUAGGUGGGGUUUACUCUUGGACACUUGCCCCUCUGUCUACAUUUUUGUAGAAUGGGGUGUGUGUUUAGCCGACGUGUCCCCCGUCUAACCUACGUUCUUCCGUAGGUGGGGUUCACUUUUGCCG